AACACCUCAAAGCUUUUGGAUUUUUUAAUCGAAAAGCUUUGGACUUGAGCAAUCCCAACACCAAUCUUUUUGAGAUCGGUGGCGGGUUGCUUGAAAUGCAGGUGCAGCUGGACAUUCUCCUGAGCUAAAAGCAUAUUCAUUUAGUCCCGUCAAACGGAUUAUUACUUUUGCUGCAGCUAACAUAAAGGGAGUUUGACCGUAUUGGCUGACUGAUGCAGGAUUUCACAAGGGUCGGCAACGAUUCUUGUUAA
rnacentral:misc_RNA from 4 species